rnacentral:rRNA from 1 species
AUUGAACGCUGGCGGCAGGCCUAACACAUGCAAUUCGAACGAGUGGCGGACGGGUGAGUAAUGUCUGGGAAACUGCCUGCUGGAGGGGGAUAACUACUGGAAACGGUAGCUAAUACCGCAUACCAUCAGAUUUGCCCAGAUGGGAUUAGCUAGUUGGUGGGUUAACGGCUCACCAAGGCGACGAUCCCUAGCUGGUCUGAGAGGAUUACCAGCCACACUGGAACUGAGACACGAUGCAGAAUCCUACGUGAGCUGGCAGUGGCGUAUAUUGCACAAUGGGCGUCACCCUGUUGCAGAUCUGCCGCGUGUAUGACGAAAGCCUUCGGGUUGUAAAGUACUUUCAGCGGGGAGGCGUAACCCGAAGAAGAAGCACCGACUAACUCCGUGCCAACCGCCGCGGUAAUAC